rnacentral:lncRNA from 1 species
UCACAAGGAAGCAGCCUUGGUGGAGGUUUGCAGCAUGCAGAUGUGCUAUAGAAUGCUGUGCUUGGGGUCACUGGAAACUUGAAUGUAGAAGGAAAGGAGCAAUAAAAACCAGGAUGUGUGAAAAUGGCACCAAAUAGCCUGAGACAUUACAAAAGCCUGAGAAAGAAAGACCCUGUGGAGAGAAUGAACCAGUGAUAGGGUACAGUCAGGGAAGCAUGGCAGAGUGGGAAGCAGAGAGCUAGAAGUUGGCCAGGGGACAGUCGAGGGUUUGGGGGGCGUCUGGAGAGAAUAUGGUUAAAGGUUUAUACAUAGCAGAAAAAACUGAGGUUGGGGAUACAGAGAAAGGAUGACUGCUAACAGGAGCUUCAUCCCUAAGAAUGGGUAACUGAGAAUUUGCUUGUCAAUGACUAAGAGGAGGGGGUGAGUCCCUGAGAAUUAGAUACAGACAGAGUUGGAGAGUGUUGGGAAUAGAUUCAUACUGAGAUCAUACUGAAUGUGAAGAGGGGAAAUGAUGGUUUCUUGGAAGACAGGGGAGGGUAUUGACUUUGUCAGCCAGUGUUACCUUGGAAACAAGAAGGUAGUAAGCAGAGCAGAAAGGCUGUAACCAAUGAUGUAGGAACUUCCCAGGCAGAGUCUGAGGUCUUAGCAUCCAUCCAGAUUGGUGCUUGUUUCUUCUCCUCCUUCCCAAGUCACUGCUCUGAGCCAGAGUGUGCGACCCACAGCAAUAGGAGAAUCCCCAGGAGCCAGGGAAGGAUUACCACUUUGCUUUACCCAAGGAAAGCUCUGACAAAAGGCCUGGAUCUCAGAAGGUUCCAGCCUCAGAGCCAAGGCCUGUUUUGGCCUUUAAGGUCCUGUCUGAAGGGAUUCAGUUAUAGGCAAUAUUAACUACAGCACUCUAUAACAUUUUUUAAAAGACUAGUUUAGAGAUAUUUUGUCUCCCAUGAAGCACUGAAAGAAUGUUUUGGUUAUAGAGCUAAUGGCGCCUGUGAGUGGCAGCAUCGAGCACAACUGGAAAUAGCUUUAACAGAGGGUCUCUUUCCUGGGGCAGGGCUUUCAGACUUGGAGCUGAGCCUGCAAAGCACACAAGCCCAGCAAAAAGGGAAACUUGUGUGGCCUGAAUCCAAGGCAAACAGAAAUCACACACUGGAAACAAAUUUUCACCAAUUAAAUGGGUGUGUAAAUGAUCGGCCAGCACUAAGUCAAGAUGCUGAUCUAUCUGACAGUGUGUAAGUGUGUGCAAUGUAAGAGAGAGAGGAGGAAGGAAGGGGGAGGAGAGGAGAGGAGAGAGGAGGAGAGAAGAGGGAAGGAGGAGUGAGGCUAAUAGUCAUAGAAGCUACAAUAUGAAGCAUUUGUAUAUGAGCAUAUUUUUACUUUUAAUUCUUUUCUUUAAUUUUAUUGAAACAGAGUUUUUUCACAUAAUACAUCAUAAUUAUAGUUUCCCCUUCCUUAACUCCCCCUCCACUGCCCCUUCCACGCAGAUCCACUCCUUUCUAUCUCUUGAGAACAAACAAGCUUCUAAUGGAUAAUAAUAAAAUAAGAUAAAACAAAAACUAAUACAUCAGAAUAGAUAAAAAAAAAAAACAGAAGGAAAAGCAUCCAUCAAAGGACACAAAGUAGAAACAGACACAGAGACCCACUUGUUCACUCACUCAGGAAUCUUAUAAAAACAGUAAACUGGAAGCCAUAAUAUACACAGAGGACAUGUAGGGUUAAAAAGACAGACAGACAUAUAUAUGGUUAAAUAAAUUAACACACACACACACACACACACAGAGAGAGAGAGAGAGAGAGAGAGAGAGAGAGAGAGAGAGAGAGAGAGAUGUUAUGAGACAAGGAACCUCCAAAGAUUCCAUUGAAUUUAUUUUCUGUUGGUCAUCUACUGCUGGGCACACAGCCUCACCUUAAGUGUAGUUUGUUUCUCCAGUGAAACUCCCUUGGAGUGAACUAAAUUUUCAUUUGCAAGUGGUUAUCAAUUGGGAAUUGCUUCUGGGUUAGGGAUGGGAACAAAUGUCUAUUUCUCCUUUAAACUCAAGACUCCACAGACCCAUGCAGACCCUGUAUAUAAUACUUAGUCUCUGUGAGUUCAUUAUGUAUGUCAAUCUUGUUGAUUUAGAGGGCCCUGUUUUCUUGGUGUCCCCCAUCCCCUCUGGCUCUUUCAUUCUUUCUACCUCCUCUUCCACAGAUUUUCCCUGAGCCCUUCGGGUAAGGAUUUGAUGGAGACAUCCCACUUAGAGCUGUGUGUUCCGAGUUCUUCACACUCUGCAUAAUGUCUGACUGUCCCUAUGGAGUAAGGGGAACACCUAUCCAUUGCUGGAGGG